rnacentral:tRNA from 1 species
GCAUUGCUGGUUCAGUGGCAAAAUGCUCCUUUGCUGAGCGGGUGGCCCGGGUUCGAUUCUCGGCCGAUGCA